rnacentral:miRNA from 1 species
UCAGUCAUUUCUUGCUCUCUGU